UACGUAGGUGGCGAGCGUUGUCCGGAUUUACUGGGCGUAAAGAGCGCGCAGGCGGCUGGUCAAGUCCGAUGUGAAAGCUCCCGGCUUAACUGGGAAAUUGCAUCGGAAACUGAUCGGCUGGAAGGUGGGAGAGGGUAGCGGAAUUCCCGGUGUAGUGGUGAAAUGCGUAGAUAUCGGGAGGAACACCAGUGGCGAAAGCGGCUACCUGGCCCAUUCUUG
rnacentral:rRNA from 1 species